UUAGGUUAAAAAAAAUUUAAAUAAUAUGAAUGUUUCAAAAUCCAGAAAUCGCCGAAAACAUUAAUAGCAAUUCACAGAAAGUUCGAUUACUAACGUUAGACUUUUAUCAAUAUUGCCAACAAAAGUCAGGUUUUAAUGUAAAACUCGUUGGCCAUAUAUCCGUUCACUUCGACCCUUUUUAUAAAUAACUUGAGCCUCAAAAUUUGAGGUCGACAUGAACCCGAUAAAUGAUGGCCAGAAUAUGUGAAAGGGUCCAAAUUUGUGGCUGUCGUGGUAUACAAAAAUGAUAAAGGCCAUUUAUAAAUACACACAAUUCUCUGCACCAUUCCUGUAAAUAGUUUAGUUUUAAAACCAGUUUCAUUUGAAACCUCGCGUGUGAUAGGAAUCCUAUCAUAGGAUACCUAAAUUGAAGAUAAAUCCGAUAAAAUAUCUCCACAGUUUUGACAGAACUCUCCCUAACGUUGAAAUAUUCAAUGUAAAUUUUACCGUUUGCGCUUCAACAAAUUUUAAAACUGCAGUGGCCCACUUGCAAUUUGUAGAGGAAAUAACUAAAUAAUGCCAAUGGAAUCUAGACGAGAAAAGCGGUGGGAUUGUACGCACUGCCCGAAGUCGUUCACUGAUAAACGCUAUUUUCGACAACAUGUCGUAACUCAUGACCCUGAUGCUCAACGGAAGUGUGAGAUUUGCGGGAAACACCGACGCUGCCUCCUCCGGCAUGUGCGACUCAUGCAUGGCAAUAAACCAAAAGUGCCUUGUACAAUUUGUGAACGGGAAUUUCGUAGCGGAUCUAAUCUACAAAUUCAUAUGAGCACUGUUCACAACACGACGGAGAGGGAACGAUUUCCGUGCUGGUUUCCAGCCUGUGGGAGAACAUUCUCGAAGAAAUGUAACGCUAUGUACCAUUAUAGAAUUAAAAUCCCACCCGCUUUCCGUGUACCCUAUGCGAGAAGGAAUUCAAAACUAGGCCUAAACUGCUUCGUCACAUUGACACCCACACGACGGAAAAGCCUCACAAUUGCUCCACAUGCGGGAAAAGUUUCGCGUUGAUGGAAUCUUUGAAAAAACACCAGUUCACCCAUCAGGGCCGAUCUAAGAGACAAGCCUACAUAUGUUCCACCUGUCCUGAAACGUUUUUAACAAAACAUGGUCUAAAUCAUCACAGCAACUCCAGCCAUGAAAACCAGAACAAGAUGAAUUGUUCCUGCAAAUUUUGCCACAGAAAAUUUAAGACGCCAGAAGGUAUGAAGCAUCACAUGGUGGUGGCACAUCCAGCUAGUAAUGCUCCCCUUCAUUCCUGUGACAAUUGCGAGUACAAUUCAUACUCCAAACCUUAUUUAAUCCAACACAUGAGACGCCAUGGUGAGACAAGAUGCGAUUGCUAUUUUUGUGACAAAGGAUUCCACACUUUUCAAGAAUUAGUUAGGCAUUGUGGAAGAAUUCAUAAUCUUGAGAGGUAGAAAUUUAUAAGUUUAUAAUUACAUAUGUAUAUAAAAGAAGGUAAAGUAUUUACUGAAUUCUCUGAAAAAUUUUACACAACGCUAAAAAUUCUAAACUUAUGUACAUAUUAUGGAAUAUAUCGUAGUAGCACAGAACUGUAAUUUUGUAAACUUACAGAUUAAUUAAUAUACUUAUUC